AACGCAUAUUGCGCUCUUUGGUAUUCCGAAGAGCAUGCUUGUUUGAGUAUCAGUAAACACCUCAACCUCUCUUUUUGACAAAAAAAGAGAGGGUGGACUUGAGCUAUCCCAACGACCUUCACCGGUAGGCGGGCGGCUUGAAAUGCAGGUGCAGCUGGACUUUUAUCUGAGCUAAAAGCAUAUCUAUUUAGUCCUCGUCAAACAGGAUUAUUACUUUUGCUGCAGCUAACAUAAAGGAUAAUUGUCCUCUUUGCUGACUGAUGCAGGAUUUUACGACACUUUAUGUGUUGUUCAACUCGAUCUCAAAUCAAGUAAGACUACCCGCUGAACUUAA
rnacentral:misc_RNA from 1 species